rnacentral:tRNA from 1 species
GCGGGUAUCGUAUAGUGGCUAUUAUAUGGGCUUCCCAAGCCUAGGAUAGGGGUUCGAUUCCCCUUACCCGCUCCA